UCAAGGUAUGAAGGGCGUACGGUGGAUGCCUUGGCACUAGGAGCCGAUGAAGGACGCGACGAACAGCGAUAUGCUUCGGGGAGCAGUAAGUAUGCUUUGAUCCGAAGAUUUCCGAAUGGGGGAACCCACCAUCUGUAAUGGGAUGGGACAUGUUACAUGAAUACAUAGUGUAGCGUGAGGCAGACCCGGGGAACUGAAACAUCUAAGUACCCGGAGGAAGAGAAAGCAAAUGCGAUUCCCUGAGUAGCGGCGAGCGAAACGGGAACAGCCCAAACCGAAGAGCAUGCUCUUCGGGGUUGUAGGACACUCUAUACGGAGUCAAAAAGGAAGACAGUAGGUGAAGGACCUGGAAAGGUCGGCCGAAGAAGGUGACAGCCCUGUAGCUGAAACUGUUUUCCCUCCAGAGUGGAUCCUGAGUACGGCGGGACACGUGAAACCCCGUCGGAAUCCGGGAGGACCAUCUCCCAAGGCUAAAUACUCCCUAGUGACCGAUAGUGAACCAGUACCGUGAGGGAAAGGUGAAAAGCACCCCGGAAGGGGAGUGAAAUAGAUCCUGAAACCGUAUGCCUACAAGUAGUCAGAGCCCGUUAACGGGUGAUGGCGUGCCUUUUGUAGAAUGAACCGGCGAGUUACGAUAACGCGCGAGGUUAAGCCGAUGAGGCGGAGCCGUAGCGAAAGCGAGUCUGAACAGGGCGUUCAGUGCGUUGUCGUAGACCCGAAACCAGGUGAUCUACCCAUGUCCAGGAUGAAGGUCAGGUAACACUGACUGGAGGUCCGAACCCACGCACGUUGAAAAGUGCGGGGAUGAGGUGUGGGUAGCGGUGAAAUGCCAAUCGAACCUGGAGAUAGCUGGUUCUCCCCGAAAUAGCUUUAGGGCUAGCCUCGAGGUUGAGAGUUCUGGAGGUAGAGCACUGAUUGGACUAGGGGCCCCCACAGGGUUACCGAAUUCAGUUAAACUCCGAAUGCCAGCAACUUAUACUCGGGAGUCAGACUGCGAGUGAUAAGAUCCGUAGUCAAGAGGGAAACAGCCCAGACCGCCAGCUAAGGUCCCAAAGUGUAUGUUAAGUGGAAAAGGAUGUGGCGCUGCCUAGACAGCUAGGAUGUUGGCUUAGAAGCAGCCACCAUUCAAAGAGUGCGUAAUAGCUCACUAGUCGAGUGGCGCCGCGCCGAAAAUGUAACGGGGCUAAACAUACCACCGAAGCUGCGGAUUCCGUAAGGAAUGGUAGGGGAGCGUUCCAAACCGCUGUGAAGCUGUACCGGAAGGAGCAGUGGAGCGUUUGGAAGUGAGAAUGCCGGUGUGAGUAGCGAAAAGAGGGGUGAGAAUCCCCUCCGUCGAAAGCCCAAGGUUUCCUGAGGAAGGCUCGUCCGCUCAGGGUUAGUCUGGACCUAAGCCGAGGCCGAAAGGCGUAGGCGAUGGAUAACAGGUUGAUAUUCCUGUACCGCCGAUCCACCGUUUGAACAAUGGGGGGACGCAGGAGGAUAGUGACGCAUGCGGAUGGAAGUGCAUGUGCAAGUUUCAAGACCGUCUGAUUGGCAAAUCCGUCAGGCACCAAAGUCAAGGAACGAUGCGGAGUCCCGUAGGGACGUAGGUCACGAUUUCACACUGCCAAGAAAAGCCUCUAGUGAGGGGGAAGGCGCCAGUACCGUAAACCGACACAGGUAGGCGAGAUGAGAAUUCUAAGACGCGCGGGAUAACUCUCGUUAAGGAACUCGGCAAAAUGGUCCCGUAACUUCGGGAGAAGGGACGCUCUACAUGAGUAGAGCCGCAGUGAAUAGGCCCAAACGACUGUUUAGCAAAAACACAGGUCUCUGCUAAAUCGCAAGAUGACGUAUAGGGGCUGACGCCUGCCCGGUGCUGGAAGGUUAAGGGGAUGGGUUAGCGCAAGCGAAGCUUUGAACCGAAGCCCCAGUAAACGGCGGCCGUAACUAUAACGGUCCUAAGGUAGCGAAAUUCCUUGUCGGGUAAGUUCCGACCCGCACGAAAGGCGUAACGAUUUGGGCACUGUCUCAACGAGAGACCCGGUGAAAUCAUAGUACCUGUGAAGAUGCAGGUUACCCGCGACAGGACGGAAAGACCCCAUGGAGCUUUACUACAGCCUGAUAUUGAGGCUUUGUGCAUGAUGUACAGGAUAGGCGGGAGACGUCGAGCCCGGAGCGCCAGCUUCGGAGGAGUCACCCUUGGGAUACCGCCCUUCAUGCAUAGAGUCUCUAACUCGCAGCCGUGAUCCGGCUGGAGGACCGUGUCAGGCGGGUAGUUUGACUGGGGCGGUCGCCUCCUAAACAGUAACGGAGGCGCCCAAAGGUUCCCUCAGAAUGGUUGGAAAUCAUUCGUAGAGCGCAAAGGCAGAAGGGAGCUUGACUGCGAGACCUACAAGUCGAGCAGGGACGAAAGUCGGGCUUAGUGAUCCGGUGGUUCCGCAUGGAAGGGCCAUCGCUCAACGGAUAAAAGCUACCCUGGGGAUAACAGGCUGAUCUCCCCCAAGAGUCCACAUCGACGGGGAGGUUUGGCACCUCGAUGUCGGCUCAUCGCAUCCUGGGGCUGGAGUAGGUCCCAAGGGUUGGGCUGUUCGCCCAUUAAAGCGGUACGCGAGCUGGGUUCAGAACGUCGUGAGACAGUUCGGUCCCUAUCCGUCGUGGGCGCAGGAAAUUUGAGGAGAGCUGUCCUUAGUACGAGAGGACCGGGAUGGACGCACCGCUGGUGUACCAGUUGUUCCGCCAGGAGCAUCGCUGGGUAGCUACGUGCGGACGGGAUAAAUGCUGAAAGCAUCUAAGCAUGAAGCCCCCUCCAAGAUGAGAUUUCCCUUUGAGUAAUCAAGAAAGACCCCUCAGAGACGAUGAGGUAGAUAGGUCACGGGUGGAAGCGUGGCGACAUGUGGAGCUGAGUGAUACUAAUCGGUCGAGGCCUUGUUCUA
rnacentral:rRNA from 1 species